rnacentral:rRNA from 1 species
GGCACAGCUAUGACACUAUAGUGGGUCGUAUUAACGAAUGCACCCUUCGGACCGGUGAGUAACGCUUGCGAAUCUAGCCUUCCGAGGGGAAUGAGUCCUGGAAACCGCGGGACAUACGCCCCAUGUUCGAGAGGUGAAGAAGAUUUCUAACUAAGGAAGAGCUCGCGGCUGAUUAGCUAGUUGGUAGGAUAAAAGACUACCAAGGCAACGAUCAGUAGCUGGUUUGAGAGGACGAUCAGCCACACUGGGACUGAGACACGGCCCAGACUCCUACGGGAGGCAGCAGUGGGGAAUCUUCUGCAAUGGGCGAAAGCCUGACAGAGCAAUACCGCGUGAGGGAUAAAAGCCUGAGGGUCGUAAACCUCUUUUUUCAGGGAAGAAAUUUGACGGUACCUGAAGAAUAAGCAUCGGCUAACUCCGUGCCAGCAGCCGCGGUAAUACGGAGGAUGUAGCGUUUCCGGAAUCACUGGGCGUAAAGCGUCUGUAGGUGGCUUUUCAGUCUGCUGUUAAGACUGAGGCUUACCUCAGAAAGCAGCGGAUCUGACAAGCUAGAGCAUGGUAUGGGUAAAGGGAAUUCCCAGUGUAGCGGUGAAUGCGUAGAUAUUGGGAAGAACCCUGUGGCGAAAGCGCUUUACUGGACCAUUGCUGACACUGAGAACGAAGCUAGGGAGCAAUGGGAUUAGAUCCCCAGUAUCAGGGCGAUUCGCGGCCGCUAAAUUCAUUCCCCUUAUGGUCGUAUAAUGGGGAU